GUUCCCUUGAUGCAUUAUUGGGACCAUGCUAAUUAUGAUGAUCAAUAAUUGUUCUUCCUUAUAUUUUUCCGAGGGAACU